GGAGAGAGUCCAAGGGGCCAUAAAGAUGAUGAAGGGAUGGGAGUGACUCUCCUAUAAGGAAAGGCUGAGACAGCUGGGACUGUUUAGCCUGGAGGAGAAGACUCAGGGAGAAUCUCAUCAGUAAAUAUAAUAAAUAAAUGAUAAAUACCAGUAAAAUCAGUAAAAUUUACUGAUAAAUAUCAGUAAAUCUUAUCAAUAAAUACCUGAAGGAAGAGUUCAAAGAGGAUGGAGCCAGGCUCUCUUCAGUGGUGUCCAGUGACAGGACAAGUGGUAAUGGGCACAAGAUAAAACACAAGAAAUUCUAUUUGAAUAUCAGGAAACGUUUUGUUACUGUGGGGGGUGACUGAGUGCACAAACAGGUUGCCCAGAGAGGUUAUGAGUGUUGUCCGGAGAGGCUGUGGGGUCUCCCUCCUUGGAGAUCUCCAAAUGUCACCUGAACAUGGUCCUGGGAAACCUGCUCUUGGGUGGUCCUGCUUAAGCAGGGUUUGGACCAGAUGCCCUCCAGAGGUACCUUACAGCCUCAACCAUUCUGUGGUUCUGUGAUGUAAGUCAGCCAAAGAACUCUUCCUAACUCAGCUGAUUCAGUUUUUUUCCUUUGUGACUAUGGGGAUCAUGGUCGGCAUCCCUCAUGGAACCUAGAAGUUACAAGAAUCACUAACAGAUUUACUAGGGAAAGAGGGGACAGAGGCUAUACCUUUUCCCCCAAACUUCUGUGGACACAAAGAACAGAUUCUUUCCUUCUUCACAACAUCUGCUCUGCAUAUGUGAAGUCUAGUCCCUCUCUGUAUGGGUGAGGGAUGGCUAACUCAACUGAGGAUCCAAUUGGAGGUUUUUUAUCCAUAAGAUUGCCACAACAGCCUACUGACACUUCCGCUACCAAUUCUGCAGCAGGUUGGUCUGAGACUGCUGUCCCAUGGCUGUGCAAUGAAAUCCCUUACUACUGUGGUAUCAGUCCAUCCAUUAAAAAGUGCUACAGAAUUUGCACCCCAGAUGUUUUUAGAUUCAUGCAGCACCAACCACUUGAAAAAAAUUUCCUCUGAAGACUGCUAUCAGCACAGAAACAACUGUAGCUUAAUCACGGUUUUAUUUGAAAAAGAAGAACACAUAUUUACUUUGAUAAUAUUUUUGAGUUCCUGAAGGCCAGAUCCUGUUCCCACUGGUAUCUGUGGCAAAACUCCCAUUAACUUCAAUGGCAACAAAAGCAGUCACUUAGUUUGCAUAAUCUGCAGAAAGUAAAUAUUUUAACAAUUAUUAUCUGUGUUAUUUAAGUAGCUAAUAAAAAUGUGCAUUUAAAACUGUUUCA
rnacentral:lncRNA from 1 species